AUGCAACGCGAAGAACCUUACCUGGUCUUGACAUCCCGGAGACCCUUAGGAAACUAGGGGUGCUUCCAUCUGGAAGAAUCUGGAGACAGGUGCUGCAUGGCUGUCGUCAGCUCGUGUCGUGAGAUGUUGGGUUAAGUCCCGCAACGAGCGCAACCCUUGCCUUUAGUUGCCAGCAGUUCGGCUGGGCACUCUAAAGGGACUGCCGGUGUUAAACCGGAGGAAGGUGGGGAUGACGUCAAGUCCUCAUGGCCCUUAUGACCAGGGCUACACACGUACUACAAUGGCCGAUACAAAGGGCAGCGACACUGCGAGGUGAAGCCAAUCCCGUAAAAUCGGUCUCAGUCCGGAUUGGAGUCUGCAACUCGACUCCAUGAAGUUGGAAUCGCUAGUAAUCGUGGAUCAGCAUGCCACGGUGAAUACGUUCCCGGGCCUU
rnacentral:rRNA from 1 species